rnacentral:rRNA from 1 species
UACCCAGUUAACCAUUCCGAACCUGGAAGUCAAGCUCUUCAUCGCUGAUAAUACUGCUCUUUUCAAGAGUGGGAAUGUAGGUCGGUGCAGGGA